rnacentral:lncRNA from 1 species
UAACUCGCUGUAGGUGAAAUUGUCUAGGUGAGUAGCCUUCUAAUUAAAACCAUCGAUCGAGAUUUUCCUGAGACACCAAAUGGCUUAUUGAUUUCUGUUGGGUAUAAAAUAACCCCAGCCGAAGUUCGUAAGAGGCCAACCCUCCCAAGACUCUUCCAGCUUCCGACCUUGUGCGGUGUCUUUCUGAACUCCUCCGACCAUUCGAGCUUCCACAGUACCAUCCAGACUCCUCCAGCAGUCGCCCUUCCACAGUGUCCUCCAAAUUCCUCCAACGGAUGAACUCCUAUCGUACGCUCCAAACUUCUCCAAUAAUGAGCUCCUUCAUUCAUCUAUCAGACUGAUCCAAAU